ensembl:lncRNA
AAGUCCUUUUCCUUUCCCUCUGUUUGAGGAUCAGCUGUAUCAGCAUCACCAGUGCAGACAGCAGGCUCGGGCCAGCGGUGCCACCAUCAAGCCCUUCCCCUGGCUGGUAAAGGCAAGCAGGACAAAAGCUGCCCUGGGGUGGGCAAGUGUAGUAGAUGCAGGGCUUCGCUCCUGAGCAGGACUGCUUGCGUCAGCCCAGAAUUACCGGAGCAGGUUUUGCCGCGGUUAACUUUUCCAUCUCUCCUUCAGCUUUAGCACACAUCGUGUUUGCAGAUGCAAAAGGCAGGAGCGCAUUUACAUACCAGACACCUACAUUAUGUGCGUACACGACUCUCCUGCCUACUCAGGAAGUUUCCGCAUACGCAGCGAGGCCAACUAAACAGCUCUUCGUGCAAAACGUUCGCUUUUUUGUUUUUGUUUUUUUAUUAUUAUUAUUAUUUUUCCCAUUUUUUCAACGCUUGCCCGCCCGCCACCCCGCAGCCUGCAGACACGGAGCCCGCUUCUAAGGCUGACGCUCAUUCUGAUGCUAAUCUCUCCCCGGCUCCCUGCGGGGAGCCCGAGCAUCCCCAUUCAGACGUUUCCUCUCCGCCCCAGCCACGUGGGUGUAUCUCUACAAAUCGUGGCGCAAGGGCAUCUUCUUUGGCAGCUCCUUCCCAAGUCCCCACAGCUCUGUAUUAACGAGAUAUGUUAAACAGGCACCUGUAUGCGGUAAAACAAGCUUCCGUAUUUAAGAUAAACCGUAAAGGACACGUGUUUUCCUAGGAUUGAAUAGACAUAAGAAAAUAUUUAACCGCCCUACAUAAAUGUCAACAAGGUAUGAGAAGUGCGCACCUAAUAAAGGAGAUAGAGGAUACAAUAAAAACGGGCCCUAAAUCAAAGAGCAGGUCCGCAGCAGCAGCAAACGCUCGCACUGGUGGAAGAGGGCGGCCUGGCCGGGCUUUGCUGCUCAUCCUGCAGCCCUGCUAGCAACCAAACGCCUCUCUACCCUCUUUUCCCCUCUAUCCCUUUGGUUGUACGUGGGACUCAUCGGCCGCAAAACUGCGGUGCUGUGUUGGGAGCUCAGGGUGUGCUUCUUCCACCUCCUUCAGCCCUUAAAAAAAAAAAAAAAGAAGAACCGCAGAGCAAACAUUAUCUAUUGUUAAUUACCUGUAAAGUAGGGCUUUAGCCACUUCCCCAGUUUCUAAGAGCUCUGAAGUGAAACCUGAAAGAAGCCACCCAUUGUUUU